rnacentral:lncRNA from 10 species
AAGCAAGAUUGUCUUAAUCUGGAAGUCAGUCCCAAGAACAGGUUCUCCCCAGUGCUCUCAGCAUUCCCCACCCCAGCCUGGCCCAUAAGCAGUGCUUGGGGCAUGCGGGGUUGCUGGAGCACUCCCAAGCCACUCCCAACACCUGGAAGGAGCCUCCCCUCCUCAGGAUUCUCAGCGGCGUUUGCGCAGCUCUGGGUUGGAACUUGCACUUUCCAGUAACUCGGACCUCCCCCCGGCCGCCUUCCCAGGCGCCACCGGGCCCAGCAGAUCGUCACCGUCCAGGUGCAGGGUGGGGGUGUGUGAAAGUCAGGCCUGGGACCCGGGCAAGUUGCUGCCGUGCCCUCUGGCUUCCCGGGGGCUUUCCCUGGCUUUUGGUGUUUGCCUACGUGUAAUGAAGUAGGGAGUAACCCAGGGAGAACGCAGGUAGGGCCUGCUCCUUCCUCUGGGCUAGGGGCGUUCCACCAGGCCCUCGCAGACUGUGUUCGGGUGGUUGAGUGUUUGGUUUUUGGCUACAGCCGGUUACUUUUUCCGAAUCUGUAGGUCCAGGUGUGCGUUGACAAGGUUUUUCCCAACUCGAGAAGUUUCUCAGGGACUCCUCUCAGACAGAAAGUCAACGGGCAGCAUCUUGCAGUAUAUUUAGAAUGCAGACUUGAAAAACUGACGGAUAAGAUAUUAUUAGCAAAGGUACAAACCUUUGAUGAUAUUCAAAAACCCCUGCCUCUGUGCAUGAAAUUAGGAAUUAUACCAAAAGUUGCCUAUAAAAUAGCAAGAAACAAAAAAGCAUCGGUUUUCUUCUUCAUCUUUUAAGACCCCACAUGCCCUGUGUCAAAGGCCCAUCAAUGUUUUAAUUAAUUACCAAUUUUUCUCUUAUGCUGCAGCAUUAGCAGUGGAACACAAGAUUUAAAUUCAAACUCGUGGGUGUGGUUUUUAAUAUCUUUUGACUUUAAUUUUAAGAGCACCCCCGUCCCCAACAGCGCUGAGUUGAGAGCCACAUCUGUCUCCAGGCACUGCCACCAGCAGGAAGGGAGGCCACCCUGAGCCUGGGAAGACUCCGGAGCUGGGUUAUCUGAAGGCCGGGAGUUCAGGUGGCCCCAGGGGUGGAGACAGAUGGGGUCUCCCACACUGCCUGCAGCCAUACUGCGCCUGGGGGAUUGACUCACUGUCAGCAUGGAGCUGACUCAGCCCUACCAGCCGUGCCCGUUACUGUGUGGCUGGGCACAAGUCAGAUGAAGGAAGUCCUUGCGCUCUGGCAUAAAGUGUACAAAGACAAAGCAGUUAUGCAUAAUUUGUCCUUUAGUAUGGUCAGGAUGUAGCAUUGUGGGUAAAAUGCAGUUGCAGAACUAUUUAUAUGUAGCAUGAUCACAGUUUUAUAAAGGAAAUUAUAAUCCUAUAUCAAUCCUAUGUAUAUAGAAAAAUGUCCAGUGAGAUAUAUGUUAAACCUAUUAUGGUGGGAUUAAAAUUAUGAGGGGGGAUUUCUAUUUUUCAAAAGAUUCCUCCUUUUUUUUUUUUUUGAGACAGAGUCUCCGUCUGUCACCCUGGCUGGAGUGCAGUGGCACGAUCUCAGGUCACUGCAACUUCCGCCUCCUGGGUUCAAGUGAUUCGCCUGCCUCAGCCUCCUGAGUAGCUGAGAUUACAGGAACAUGCCAGCACACCUGGCUAAUUUUUGUAUUUUUAGUAAAGAUGGGGUUUCACCAUAUUGGCCAGGCUGGUCUCAAACUCCUGACCCCGGGUGACCCACCCACCUCGGCCUCCCAAAGUGCUGGGAUUACAGGCAUGAGCCACUGCA